UUUCUUUCUCCCUUUCUCCCUUUCUUUCUUUCAGUCAGAGAAAUCACCCCAACCCAACCACAAAACCCUAGCACUGUAAGCCUACACCACCGCCACAAGGAGUGGCAUACUGCCGCCGUCCGUCGCACUCAAAGUUCGCCAUCCGUCAUCUAGCUUCCCUCGUGCUCCAAAUCUUCAACCCCUGUUCGCUGUCACCGAUCGCGGUUGCUUCAUCGAGCUCGGCGUCCGUCGUCUUUGUCUGCUCAGCCGCGCUUCCGUCGCCGUUUGUUUGCCGUUCACGUUCGCGUCUUCGUUCGCAUUCUUCGCCAUUCGCGUUCGCUCGGCGUUCACCGUUCGCGUUCACUCGCUGUUCACCGUUCGAGUUCGCGUUCGUCUGGAAGCCACGUUGCUCUGCUUCAAACUCUGCCACCAACCCGCGCGCUCCACUCAGCCGUCGAACUGCUCUCUUUUGUCCCCACCGUUUAGUGUGAUUAUUGGUUAAUGUUUUGGUUUAGUGUUCUCUCUUUUCCAGAUUUCCCUUCUCCCUGUAUUUCUGCAUGUUGCUGAAAUCUGAAUUGGUAAUCAAUAAAUUUGCCUUUUUGCUGUAACUCGGGACUUUACUAGGAUUUGUUAAGUUUGUUGCUGUAACUUGCAUUUGUUGCUGAAUUUGUUGCUUCCCAGUCACAGAAUCAGAACAGAAUGCUCAGUCAGUGUUUGAUUGAUUGGCUUUGCUCACCGAUUGUAUUUGAUGAUAAAUUUUAAAUUGAUAACUUUUAAAUUUUAAAUUUGCACUGCCCAUGUUAUUGAUUCACUGUUCGUUCAGUGCUUUUUUGUUGUUGUUAAUCAUUGUGAUGAGCUUUGUUAAAAUUUGCACUGCCUAUAUUACUGAGUGUUCUUUCAGUGCUUUUUGUUGUUAAUCAUUGUGGUGAACUUUGUUAAAAUUUGCACGGCCUAUGUUACUGAUUCAUGGAUGCAUCCCUCUCGUCAUUAUCAUUGGCAUGAACUCCGAACCAAAGCCCCAACUCUCUGGAUAAAAUUGUAAUGAAAGCUUAUGGGGACUUUUUCUUCUACUUAAGGUAUGAAUUAGAAUGAUGAGGCCAAGUUGUGAAUACACAAGUGUCAACGGACUAUAAUAUAUAUUGAAUUUGUGACAUUAGAAGGGUGUAAUAAUAACAAUAAUGGAGUCAUGUUACUUGAAUAUUGAGGUUUAACAUUUAAACUCUCAGCUUCUUAGCCCUGUUUGAUUCUUCAUCUCAGGCAAUUGAAUCGAAUCAACCAGGCCUUCUUUUUCUUUUUCUUUUAGUUGAUUCUUAAUUUUUCUAAUAUAUGUAACUUUCUGAAUCAAGUGGAUCAGAUUAUGUAGUUUUCUUGAUUUGGGAUAUUUUCGAAGACGCAUUAGAAGAGCUAUUUUAUUAUUAUGUUUGCUAAUAAUAAUAUUCACAUGUUCUGUAUGCUUGUGAUUGUUUCGGUGUUUACAUUUUCUUUCCAAGUCACUUGCUGUGGUUGUUCUCUGAGUUAAGGCUUUGUAUGUGUGUGUGUGAGAAUGUGAUAAUGUUGAAUGCUGUUGCAUCUAAUAGGAGUUCUUGGAGUACCCUCAUCUUUGGUCCUUUAUAAUUUAUUUAUUAUUUUAUUCUAAAACGGUUUUUUCGGUUGAAUUACCGGUUGGACCGGUUAGAUCAAUAAACCAGUGAACUAGUGACUAAAGCGGUUUGAUGACCGGUCCGGUUUUCAGAACCUUGG